rnacentral:lncRNA from 1 species
GCGUUGAUGUUUUUUUCUAACAUAAUGAAUUUUUAACAUUCCUGCAUUUUGAAAAUUUUGUGUUCCAGAGGGGCCUAGAUAUAUGAUGAUAAAAAAUGGUAUAGACAUCACAGUGAUAGUGAUCUAAACACACUUGGGCACACGUCUAAAUGUCCAUUUAGGUGAUCGAUGGCAACAGGCAAGUAGAGAGAUCGACAAGCGGGUUAGCGGAGGAUGUCAAAACAAUGAUUAUUCAAUAUAGAUUGUUAAAUGACGUUUAGUGACUUGAUUUGAGGGUA